CACACUAUCGUUAACUGAAUACAUAGGUUAACGAGGCGAACCGGGGGAACUGAAACAUCUAAGUACCCCGAGGAAAAGAAAUCAACCGAGAUUCCCCCAGUAGCGGCGAGCGAACGGGGAGCAGCCCAGAGUCUGAAUCAGCUUGUGUGUUAGUGGAAGCGUCUGGAAAGUCGCACGGUACAGGGUGACAGUCCCGUACACGAAAGCACACAGGCUGUGAACUCGAAGAGUAGGGCGGGACACGUGGUAUCCUGUCUGAAUAUGGGGGGACCAUCCUCCAAGGCUAAAUACUCCUGACUGACCGAUAGUGAACCAGUACCGUGAGGGAAAGGCGAAAAGAACCCCGGCGAGGGGAGUGAAAAAGAACCUGAAACCGUGUACGUACAAGCAGUGGGAGCCUCUUUUAUGGGGUGACUGCGUACCUUUUGUAUAAUGGGUCAGCGACUUAUAUUCUGUAGCAAGGUUAACCGUAUAGGGGAGCCGAAGGGAAACCGAGUCUUAACUGGGCGUUAAGUUGCAGGGUAUAGACCCGAAACCCGGUGAUCUAGCCAUGGGCAGGUUGAAGGUUGGGUAACACUAACUGGAGGACCGAACCGACUAAUGUUGAAAAAUUAGCGGAUGACUUGUGGCUGGGGGUGAAAGGCCAAUCAAACCGGGAGAUAGCUGGUUCUCCCCGAAAGCUAUUUAGGUAGCGCCUCGUGAACUCAUCUUCGGGGGUAGAGCACUGUUUCGGCUAGGGGGCCAUCCCGGCUUACCAACCCGAUGCAAACUACGAAUACCGAAGAAUGUUAUCACGGGAGACACACGGCGGGUGCUAACGUCCGUCGUGAAGAGGGAAACAACCCAGACCGCCAGCUAAGGUCCCAAAGUCAUGGUUAAGUGGGAAACGAUGUGGGAAGGCACAGACAGCCAGGAUGUUGGCUUAGAAGCAGCCAUCAUUUAAAGAAAGCGUAAUAGCUCACUGGUCGAGUCGGCCUGCGCGGAAGAUGUAACGGGGCUAAACCAUGCACCGAAGCUGCGGCAGCGACACUAUGUGUUGUUGGGUAGGGGAGCGUUCUGUAAGCCGUUGAAGGUGUCCUGUGAGGGGUGCUGGAGGUAUCAGAAGUGCGAAUGCUGACAUAAGUAACGAUAAAGCGGGUGAAAAGCCCGCUCGCCGGAAGACCAAGGGUUCCUGUCCAACGUUAAUCGGGGCAGGGUGAGUCGACCCCUAAGGCGAGGCCGAAAGGCGUAGUCGAUGGGAAACAGGUUAAUAUUCCUGUACUUGGUGUUACUGCGAAGGGGGGACGGAGAAGGCUAUGUUAGCCGGGCGACGGUUGUCCCGGUUUAAGCAUGUAGGCGGAGGUUCCAGGUAAAUCCGGUUCCUUGUUAACGCUGAGGUGUGAUGACGAGGCACUACGGUGCUGAAGUAACAAAUGCCCUGCUUCCAGGAAAAGCCUCUAAGCAUCAGGUAACAUCAAAUCGUACCCCAAACCGACACAGGUGGUCAGGUAGAGAAUACCAAGGCGCUUGAGAGAACUCGGGUGAAGGAACUAGGCAAAAUGGUGCCGUAACUUCGGGAGAAGGCACGCUGAUAUGUAGGUGAAGCCCCUGCGGGUGGAGCUGAAAUCAGUCGAAGAUACCAGCUGGCUGCAACUGUUUAUUAAAAACACAGCACUGUGCAAACACGAAAGUGGACGUAUACGGUGUGACGCCUGCCCGGUGCCGGAAGGUUAAUUGAUGGGGUUAGCGGUAACGCGAAGCUCUUGAUCGAAGCCCCGGUAAACGGCGGCCGUAACUAUAACGGUCCUAAGGUAGCGAAAUUCCUUGUCGGGUAAGUUCCGACCUGCACGAAUGGCGUAAUGAUGGCCAGGCUGUCUCCACCCGAGACUCAGUGAAAUUGAACUCGCUGUGAAGAUGCAGUGUACCCGCGGCAAGACGGAAAGACCCCGUGAACCUUUACUAUAGCUUGACACUGAACACUGGUCCUUGAUGUGUAGGAUAGGUGGGAGGCUUUGAAGCGUGGACGCCAGUCUGCGUGGAGCCAACCUUGAAAUACCACCCUUUAAUGGCUGGUGUUCUAACGUAGACCCGUGAUCCGGGUUGCGGACAGUGUCUGGUGGGUAGUUUGACUGGGGCGGUCUCCUCCCAAAGAGUAACGGAGGAGCACGAAGGUUAGCUAAUCCUGGUCGGACAUCAGGAGGUUAGUGCAAUGGCAUAAGCUAGCUUGACUGCGAGAGUGACGGCUCGAGCAGGUGCGAAAGCAGGUCAUAGUGAUCCGGUGGUUCUGAAUGGAAGGGCCAUCGCUCAACGGAUAAAAGGUACUCCGGGGAUAACAGGCUGAUACCGCCCAAGAGUUCAUAUCGACGGCGGUGUUUGGCACCUCGAUGUCGGCUCAUCACAUCCUGGGGCUGAAGUAGGUCCCAAGGGUAUGGCUGUUCGCCAUUUAAAGUGGUACGCGAGCUGGGUUUAGAACGUCGUGAGACAGUUCGGUCCCUAUCUGCCGUGGGCGCUGGAGAAUUGAGGGGGGCUGCUCCUAGUACGAGAGGACCGGAGUGGACGCAUCACUGGUGUUCGGGUUGUCAUGCCAAUGGCACUGCCCGGUAGCUAAAUGCGGAAGAGAUAAGUGCUGAAAGCAUCUAAGCACGAAACUUGCCCCGAGAUGAGUUCUCCCUGAGACUUUAAGUCUCCUGAAGGAACGUUGAAGACUACGACGUUGAUAGGUCGGGUGUGUAAGCGCAGCGAUGCGUUGAGCUAACCGAUACUAAUGAACCGUGAGGCUUAACCUU
rnacentral:rRNA from 1 species